AACGAACGCUGGCGGCAGGCCUAACACAUGCAAGUCGAACGCUCCGCAAGGGGAGUGGCGCACGGGUGAGUAACACGUGGGAACCUACCUUCUGGUACGGAACAACCAAGGGAAACUUUGGCUAAAACCGUAUACGACCUCCGGGUGAAAGAUUGAUCGCCGGAAGAGGGGCCCGCGUCCGAUUAGGUAGUUGGUGAGGUAACGGCUCACCAAGCCUACGAUCGGUAGCUGGUCUGAGAGGAUGACCAGCCACACUGGGACUGAGACACGGCCCAGACUCCUACGGGAGGCAGCAGUGGGGAAUAUUGCGCAAUGGGCGGAAGCCUGACGCAGCGACGCCGCGU
rnacentral:rRNA from 1 species